UUGAGUCCAGGUGCUCAGUUGGGAAUGGAUGGGAAGCAAAGUGCAACCUCCACAUGGCCUCUGGUGCUUUGCUGGGCAUUGCUAAUAAGUAAUACAAAUUACUGCUGCAAAAAUGGAAAUUGGCAGUUAUAAAAAUACAGCUGAGUUUGAGGGAAGGAGUAAGGAAUUGCUUUCCAGGGAAGGAAGGCAAGCCAUGUGGUUAGACUGCAAAGUCUCCUUCAGGAGAGCACAGUAAGUUCCUGAGACCUCCCAAGAGUUUCUUAGGGAGAUUAAUCUGGAGGACUAAGAAAGUGGAGCCAGUGAAGUUGUAUUGACUCUACUGAUACUAUCCUCCUAAAUGAAAUGGUGGAAGAACAAGGCCUGUCUGUGAGAUGGAGUCAGGACUUACUUUCUCUACCUACAAGGUUUUUGUGGCAAUUAGAGGGAACAAGUUAGUCCUCAUGGGUUCCUUUGCUCCUGGCUCCAGGACUGRGUGAUGAGGGACACUGGACACCGUGACAAAUUAUGGUAUUUCUUUUUGCUGCCUUAACAGUCCUGUACAGAGUCUCUGGCAAUGGCCACGUUCUCCUCAGCAGACCACUCUGUAUUCAGGCAUCAGGCUUGUGUUGUCCAGCAGAUUCAUCAAGCUGGCAGUGUAAUGACGAAGCUUGUCCCARUCCCACAGUGUCAGAGCACCUCAUGGUUGGCUUGGUGAAUCCAUCCUUGCAGCACUCCUAA
rnacentral:lncRNA from 1 species